rnacentral:rRNA from 1 species
GAUGAACGCUGGCGGCGUGCCUAACACAUGCAAGUCGAACGGAGUCCAGCCUUAGAGACCUUCGGGUCAAAGAGGGGAAGACUGAGUGGCGGACGGGUGAGUAACACGUGGGCAACCUGGCUCAUAGAGGGGGAUAACAGAGAGAAAUUUCUGCUAAUACCGCAUAAGCACACACUGCCGCAUGGCAGAGUGUGAAAAGAGAAUCGCUAUGAGAUGGACCCGCGUCUGAUUAGCCAGGUGGCAGGGUAAGAGCCUACCAAAGCGACGAUCAGUAGCCGAUUUGAGAGGAUGAACGGCCACAUUGGGACUGAGACACGGCCCAAACUCCUACGGGAGGCAGCAGUGGGGGAUAUUGCACAAUGGGGGGAACCCUGAUGCAGCGACGCCGCGUGAGUGAAGAAGUAUUUCGGUAUGUAAAGCUCUAUCAGCAGGGAAGAUAAUGACAGUACCUGAAGAAGAAGCCCCGGCUAACUACGUG